rnacentral:rRNA from 1 species
GAUGAACGCUGGCGGCGUGCUUAACACAUGCAAGUCGAACGGAAAGGCCCAAGCUUGCUUGGGUCCUCGAGUGGCGAACGGGUGAGUAACACGUGGGUGAUCUGCCCUGCACUUCGGGAUAAGCCUGGGAAACUGGGUCUAAUACCGGAUAGGACGAUGGUUUGGAUGCCAUUGUGGAAAGUUUUUUCGGUGUGGGAUGAGCUCGCGGCCUAUCAGCUUGUUGGUGGGGUAAUGGCCUACCAAGGCGUCGACGGGUAGCCGGCCUGAGAGGGUGUACGGCCACAUUGGGACUGAGAUACGGCCCAGGCUCCGACGGGAGGCAGCAGUGGGGAAUAUUGCACAAUGGGCGCAAGCCUGAUGCAGCGACGCCGCGUGGGGGAUGACGGCCUUCGGGUUGUAAACUCCUUUCGCUAGGGACGAAGCGUUUUUGUGACGGUACCUGGAGAAGAAGCACCGGCUAACUACGUG